rnacentral:rRNA from 1 species
CUACCUGGUUGAUCCUGCCAGUAGU